rnacentral:lncRNA from 1 species
AUGAAAUGGCUUGGGUUGGAAGAGACCUUAAAGACCAUCUCAUUCCAAACCCUUUCCAUGGGCAGGGACACCUCCCACCAGCCCAGGUUGCUCCAAGCCCCCUCCAACCUGCCCUUGAACCCCUCCAGAGAUGGAGCAGCCACAGCUUCUUGGGGCAACCUGGGCCAGGCUCUCACCACCCUCCCACCAAAGAGUUUCCUCCCAAUAUCUCAAUCUCCCCUCCUCGUUGAAGCCAUCACCCCUCAUCCUAUCACUACCUGCCCUUGUAAGAAGUCCCCCAGACCUGGCAGCAGCCCACAGAGCCCCCCCACCCUGUGCUGCAGCACCCAGGGAUCACCCCAUCUCCUGCCAGCCUGGUCCCAUCCCAAACAUCAGCUCCAGCAGCACCACAAGCAGGAGCACAUCUCAGCCCCUGGCACUGCCUUGAGCCCAGACACGCUGCAGGAGACACAGCAGCACCUUCACAGAGGGGUUUGGGUUGGAAGGGACCUUAAAGACCAUCUCAUUCCAAACCCUUUCCCUGGGCAGGGACACCUCCCACCAGCCCAGGUUGCUCCAAGCCCCCUCCAACCUGCCCUUCAACCCCUCCAGGGAUGGGGCAGCCACAGCUUCUUGGGGCAACCUGGGCCAGGCUCUCACCACCCUCCACCAAAGAAGUUCUUCCCCACAUCUCAGCUCCAUCUCCCCUCUUCCAGGGUCAAACUCUUCCCCCUUGUCCCCUCCCUCAUCACGAGUCCCUCCCCAGCUUUCCUGGAGCCCCUUGAGGGACUGGAAGGGGCUCUGAGGUCUUCAUGGAGCCUUCUCUUCUCCAGGUUGAACCCCUCCAACUCUCAGCCUGCAAACCCAUCCUGGCAAGUAUUUGCCACCCAUCCCAGGGCUCUCAGCCAGGUCACCAUCCCAGGCAAAGCAAAGACGAACACAGGACACUACAGACAACAUCUUCGUUGGUCAGGGGGACAGAGCAAACACUCCCCUGUGCUCUCCACGCCUGACUUGCCCCCGGGCUCUUCCUCCAGGCCAAAAAACCCCUAA